rnacentral:lncRNA from 10 species
CCGGCCUGACUUAGGCCGAGCGCGGCGUGCGCGUGCCCCCAGUCCCCGCGGCGGUCUCCCGCCUGGCCCACGCCCACCAUGCGCAUCCACCCCUGUGGCGGCCGGGCCGGGCUGGGGGGCUGUGACCGGUCCUGGCCCCCGGCUUCGCUGUGCUUUCCCCGAGGCGUCUCGAUCGCCUAGCUGCUGCGCUCUUUACCCUUGUUUUUUUCUGUCGAUUCUGAGGUGGUGGUUUUUGGUGUCUGUUUUUGCCCUGUGGCCUUAGGGUGCCCUUCCUGUCCCUUCUUUCAGAAACAGUCAUUCU